rfam:Staphylococcus saprophyticus subsp. saprophyticus ATCC 15305 DNA, complete genome.
UGCCAACAUAUGAAUUGUCUAAUAGCCCUUUUCCAGUUAAAUGAAUGACUUGGUAAGUCUCUUGAAGUGUCUCGAGAUUUUGUCUUAUAAUGUCAUUCAAUUUUUUACUGCCUAGACUGCCACCCAUGACUAAUAAUACUUUUUUAUCAUUAUUAAAUUCUGUCAGUUGAUAACC